rnacentral:rRNA from 1 species
GACGAACGCUGGCGGCGUGCUUAACACAUGCAAGUCGAACGGAAAGGCCCUGCUUUUGUGGGGUGCUCGAGUGGCGAACGGGUGAGUAACACGUGAGUAACCUGCCCUUGACUUUGGGAUAACUUCAGGAAACUGGGGCUAAUACCGGAUAGGAGCUCCUGCUGCAUGGUGGGGGUUGGAAAGUUUCGGCGGUUGGGGAUGGACUCGCGGCUUAUCAGCUUGUUGGUGGGGUAGUGGCUUACCAAGGCUUUGACGGGUAGCCGGCCUGAGAGGGUGACCGGCCACAUUGGGACUGAGAUACGGCCCAGACUCCUACGGGAGGCAGCAGUGGGGAAUAUUGCACAAUGGGCGGAAGCCUGAUGCAGCAACGCCGCGUGCGGGAUGACGGCCUUCGGGUUGUAAACCGCUUUCGCCUGUGACGAAGCGUGAGUGACGGUAAUGGGUAAAGAAGCACCGGCUAACUACGUGCCAGCAGCCGCGGUGAUACGUAGGGUGCGAGCGUUGUCCCGGAUUUAUUGGGCGUAAAGGGCUCGUAGGUGGUUGAUCGCGUCGGAAGUGUAAUCUUGGGGCUUAACCCUGAGCGUGCUUUCGAUACGGGUUGACUUGAGGAAGGUAGGGGAGAAUGGAAUUCCUGGUGGAGCGGUGGAAUGCGCAGAUAUCAGGAGGAACACCAGUGGCGAAGGCGGUUCUCUGGGCCUUUCCUGACGCUGAGGAGCGAAAGCGUGGGGAGCGAACAGGCUUAGAUACCCUGGUAGUCCACGCUGUAAACGGUGGGUACUAGGUGUGGGGUCCAUUCCACGGAAUCCGUGCCGUAGCUAACGCUUUAAGUACCCCGCCUGGGGAGUACGGCCGCAAGGCUAAAACUCAAAGGAAUUGACGGGGCCCCGCACAAGCGGCGGAGCAUGCGGAUUAAUUCGAUGCAACGCGUAGAACCUUACCUGGGUUUGACAUGGAUCGGGAGUGCUCAGAGAUGGGUGUACCUCUUUUGGGGUCGGUUCACAGGUGGUGCAUGGCUGUCGUCAGCUAGUGUCGUGAGAUGUUGGGUUAAGUCCCGCAACGAGCGCAACCCUUGUUCACUGUUGCCAGCACGUUAUGGUGGGGACUCAGUGGAGACCGCCGGGGUCAACUCGGAGGAAGGUGGGGAUGACGUCAAGUCAUCAUGCCCCUUAUGUCCAGGGCUUCACGCAUGCUACAAUGGCUGGUACAGAGAGUGGCGAGCCUGUGAGGGUGAGCGAAUCUCGGAAAGCCGGUCUCAGUUCGGAUUGGGGUCUGCAA